rnacentral:rRNA from 1 species
CCUACGGGAGGCAGCAGUGGGGAAUAUUGGACAAUGGGGGAAACCCUGAUGCAGCGACGCCGCGUGAGUGAAGAAGUAAUUCGGUAUGUAAAGCUCUAUCAGCAGGGAAGAAAAUGACGGUACCUGAGUAAGAAGCCCCGGCUAACUACGUGCCAGCAGCCGCGGUAAUACGUAGGGGGCAAGCGUUAUCCGGAUUUACUGGGUGUAAAGGGAGCGUAGACGGCAGUGCAAGUCUGGAGUGAAAGGCGGGGGCUCAACCCCCGGACUGCUGUGGAAACUGUAGCGCUGGAGUGCAGGAGAGGUAAGCGGAAUUCCUAGUGUAGCGGUGAAAUGCGUAGAUAUUAGGAGGAACACCAGUGGCGAAGGCGGCUUACUGGACUGUAACUGACGUUGAGGCUCGAAAGCGUGGGGAGCAAACAGGAUUAGAUACCCUAGUAGUC